rnacentral:rRNA from 1 species
AACGAACGCUGGCGGCAGGCCUAACACAUGCAAGUCGAGCGCUCACUUCGGUGGGAGCGGCGGACGGGUUAGUAACGCGUGGGAACGUACCCUUCGGUAAGGAAUAGCCACUGGAAACGGUGAGUAAUACCUUAUACGCCCUUCGGGGGAAAGAUUUAUCGCCGAGGGAUCGGNCCGCGUUAGAUUAGAUAGUUGGUGGGGUAAUGGCCUACCAAGUCUACGAUCUAUAGCUGGUUUUAGAGGAUGAUCAGCAACACUGGGACUGAGACACGGNCCAGACUCCUACGGGAGGCAGCAGUGGGGAAUCUUGGACAAUGGGCGCAAGCCUGAUCCAGCCAUGCCGCGUGAGUGAUGAAGGCCUUAGGGUCGU